CUCCAGGGAGACUGCCGGUGAUAAACCGGAGGAAGGUGGGGACGACGUCAAGUCAUCAUGGCCCUUACGAGUAGGGCUACACACGUGCUACAAUGGCAGAUACAGAGGGCAGCGAAGCUGCGAAGUGGAGCGAAUCCCUUAAAGUUUGUCGUAGUCCGGAUUGGAGUCUGCAACUCGACUCCAUGAAGUCGGAAUCGCUAGUAAUCGUGGAUCAGAAUGCCACGGUGAAUACGUUCCCGGGCCUUGUACACACCGCCCGUCACACCAUGGGAGUGGGCUGCACCAGAAGUAGAUAGCUUAACCUUCGGGAGGGCGUUUACCACGGUGUGGUUCAUGACUGGGGUGAAGUCGUAACAAGGUAGCCCUAGGGGAACCUGGGGCUGGAUCACCUCCUUA
rnacentral:ncRNA from 1 species